rnacentral:lncRNA from 1 species
UGCACCUGAACUUCCAGGCCCAGCGCCCCGCCCCCACCUCACCACUUGCCUGGAAUCACCCCACAAAGAGGGCCCCCCUUCCCCAGCCAGCCAGGGGCCUGGUGGGGACACAUCCUGCCCAGACGUUCUGGCCUUGGGGCCCUCGGGGGCUAUGGGUCACCCAUGGGAGGGGCUUUGUGGGAAGACCCGCCGCGGUCAUGGGAGAAUCCCGCCAGGCCCUCAGCCCGCCCGCUCCCUGGCACUGGGCCCCUCACAGAGGGUUGGGCACCAUUCUGGGCACACAUGGUGCCCUGGGAGGCACGCAGAAUGUAAGGGGAAGCCCGGAGGGCCCCUGGCCCUCAGGAGGGGUCAGCCUGCCUGCCAGCGGAUGGUGAGCUCCCCGUCACAGUCCUGGGGCCCACAAGGUGCCUGGCUCCCCACCCGACCCCUGGGACGCUCUGUAAUUCUGCCAGUUUCCUUGGACUGACUGCGCGCUGUCAUGGGAGGAGGGGUCGGGGGCAGGGCCUGGGGCCGGGCGGAGAAGGUACGGCUCCCAGGCUGGGGCUGCAGUGUGGUGGGCAAGGGGAGGGUCCCCCAGAAGCCCGGGGGGGCGGGGGUCGCAGACCGCGCUGGCCCGUGAGCAGCACAGCCUCUGGGACUCUGCUUCCCUGUGUGUAUGGGGGGUGCUCUGGCAGACCGCAGCCAGCCAGCUGGCACAGAGGUGUGGGUGGGGCCGCGGCCCGGAUGCCAGGGCACCUGAGACCUGCCUUCUCGCCCCACUCCGGGGCGGGGCGAAGCUCCCAGCUUUGGGCUGGAGGCGGCCGCGGCAGCUCGCACCGGUCAGCGCCCCCCCGGCCUGUGAGUCUCUGCCGGAUUUCCUGUGGUGGAGGGAGAGUCGUGGGCCUGGUUCUCUCCUUCCGGGGCCAGCAGCAGGAGCCCUUGGGACCCCGGGCCUCUCCCUCUGCCGCUGGCCCAGUCCUGACUCUGGGGAGGAGCAGGUCCCAGGGAGAUGGGCAGCCUGCCAGGGGGCAGGCCCGGGGCCCACGGGAUCGGAGAGCCCAGUGGGCACUGCCAAGAUACCUCCUGUGUUGCCAUGGCUGUCCUAGGCUGUGGAGAGAGAGCAGGCUCAUCAUCCUGAGUGCAAAUUCGGGGACAGACGUCUAACAGCCCGGCUACUAGCCACCUGAUCCUCUUUACCCCAGUUUCCUUCUCUGUAAAAUGAGCUGCAGAAGGAAAUGGCAAACUAUUCCACCCCAAAUGGGAUUGUGGAGAGUCAGACGGGACUGAACAAUGACCGAAAACACUGUGUUCCAAAGACUGUGCUCUGUGCUAGUUGAAAGACAAAAGGGGAGACCACAUGUGCUUAUGUAAGAAUGCAUGAUAUUCGGCAGAAAACUAUAUGUAACUGGGGAAAAUAAGCUGGGAUUUCCAUUUUUAAAAUGAAAUUAUUUAAAUGAAAAAUGGAAAAAGGACUAGAAGCUAAUCAUCUGUUUUAAGGGUGUCAUACAGAGGGAAGGGGUUAGAAAUCAGUCCGCUAGAAAAAUAGAGUAAAAAUGAAUAAAAAACGAAUAAAAAGAGAAAUUUCAGUGCAGCGCUCAUGUUUAAUAACUAGGUCGCUGCAAGAACGUUGGCUUUGAAGUAGUUGUGUGCAUUUGAAUCCUACCGUGACAUUUCCCAACUGGACCCAUAAGCAGGUCUUCUCGGCCUCAGUUGCUUCAUCUUUGAAAUGGAAAUAAUAAUAUCUGGAUUAGGUGUGUUGGGGAGCUCCGUCGACACACUGAACAGUAAGCAUCUUACAGACCUUAAAAGCCCAUAAAGUGUCAACCUUCAAGAGACACACGUGGCUUUUUACCCCCCUUUAUUCUGUCCCCCGCAUUCAAUUGUUGUUGCAGGUGAUGAUGGUAAAAAAGAAGCUCACAGCCCCACAACUCUCUGUCCUGUACGAAUAUUCUCCCAUGACAAGUUCAAAAAAAGAAUAUUAACAUUCAUAACAAAAUCUAUAAACAUGAGGGAAUGGGGCAGGAAGUGGCCCUGGAAGCAGGAAAGGGAGGCUUAAUGUAGGAAUCGGGGCUUGAGCUGGACUUGAAAGGGACUAUGAAGGCAGAGAUGAUGGGGCCCACCCCUGCAUGGCAAAGGCUCGGAGGCAGAAGGUAAGCCUCUAUUGCAAAGGGCCUUUGUACACUUGGCCUGAUUAGGGAGACCUUUGGGGGGGGGGGUGUUUGAAAUAGCAGGACUAAGUAUAUUGCAUUUUGCUUAGAAGCAACAACUAAUUUUUUGAGACCUACUAAUCCCAGUCGCUGCCCAGCAAUUCUUGAGCAGCUCCCAUGUCUCAUCAUUGCAACGUUUUCCUCAGAGCAAAAAGCACAAUUGAUCAAUGAGCAUUUCUUAAGCACCUACCGGGUGAUAGACAAAGAUAGAAAGGAAAUAGCUUUUGUUUUGUUCUGUUUUGUUUUGCUGAGGCUUUGGGGGUCAACUGACUUACCCAGGGUCACACAGCCAAGACAUGGUAAGUGUCCGAGGCUGGGUUUGAAUUCAGAUUCUCCCACUAGAAAUAGCCUUUUUAUGCAGUGUGAGAAUCCUGGGUGUAAAGGUCCCAAAUACUCCUAUAGAAAUGGAGGAGGCUGGAGAAGAAGAGAGAGGCAAGGCCCCAGCCAGAGCUUUGAAGGGACACUGGGGCAAGGAGCAGGAGCCGAAGAGGACCCGCGGUCAGGGAGGAUUUGUGAGUCUCCUUCCUUGUGCCAGGCACUGGGCAGGGGGGAGGUGGGGAGUAGCGUGCCCGCAAGUGAGGAGACAUCGGAGAUGCCAUCUUGGGGAGGGAGCUGGGGGGGUCAGGCAAGGCUUCCUCCAGGAGGUGGCAUCUGAACAGGGCUGGGAAGGAAGCCUCUGGGGCGCCAGGGGGAACCAGGGGGCGGGCAGGAGUUGGGCCGUGGCCCCGGGCCUUUCCUAGCUGUGUGGCCUGAGCGGGGCUAACCCCGACUCUGCUCAAGAAACUCCGUGGGCUCCCAGAGGGGGCAGGAUGGAGGCACCCAACCCCAGGGAUUCCCAAGGGUCUGUGGGGGCCGGCGCACAGAAUCAGGGGGUAGCAAGAAGGCUGUGGGACAUUUAGGUGUGGAAUUUCUACCCCUUUGUGCUCAGGGGGGAGGAGGAGGAGGAGGAGGAGGACGACGACGACGACGACAACGACCACCAGGAUGACGGCUGGGUCACCAGGG